rnacentral:rRNA from 1 species
CCUACGGGAGUCAGCCGUGGGGGAUAUUGGACACUGGGGGGAACCCUGAUCCAGCGACGCCGCGUGAGUGAAGAAGUAUUUCGGUAUGUAAAGCUCUGUCAGCAGGGAAGAAAGACAUGACGGUACCUGACCACAAAGCCCCGGCUAACUACGUGCCAGCAGCCGCGGUAAUCCGUAGGGGGCAAGCGUUAUCCGGAAUUACUGGGGGUAAAGGAAGCGUAGACGGUCAAGUAAGUCUGGAGUGAAAGGCCGGGGCCCAACCCAGGGACUGCUCUGGAAUCUAUUGAACUUGAGUGCAGGAGAGGUGAGCGGAAUGCCUAUUGUAGCGGUGAAAUGCGUAGAUAUUAGGAGGAACACCAGUGGCGAAGGCGGCUUACUGGACUGUAACUGACGUUGAGGCUCGAAAGCGUGGGGAGCAAACAGGAUUAGAUACCCGAGUAGUC